rnacentral:rRNA from 1 species
GAUGAACGCUGGCGGCGUGCCUAAUACAUGCAAGUCGAGCGAACAGACGAGGAGCUUGCUCCUCUGACGUUAGCGGCGGACGGGUGAGUAACACGUGGAUAACCUACCUAUAAGACUGGGAUAACUUCGGGAAACCGGAGCUAAUACCGGAUAAUAUAUUGAACCGCAUGGUUCAAUAGUGAAAUACGGUUUUUCUGUCACUUAUAGAUGGCUCCGCGCCGCAUUAGCUAGUUGGUAAGGUAACGGAUUACCAAGGCGACGAUGCGUAGCCGACCUGAGAGGGUGAACGGCCACACUGGAACUGAGACACGGUCCAGACUCCUACGGGAGGCAGCAGUAGGGAAUCUUCCGCAAUGGGCGAAAGCCUGACGGAGCAACGCCGCGUGAGUGAUGAAGGUCUUCGGAUCGUAAAACUCUGUUAUUAGGGAAGAACAAAUGUGUAAGUAACUAUGCACGUCUUGACGGUACCUAAUCAGAAAGCCACGGCUAACUACGUG